CCUACGGGUGGCAGCAGUGAGGAAUAUUGGUCAAUGGACGAGAGUCUGAACCAGCCAAGUAGCGUGAAGGAUGACUGCCCUAUGGGUUGUAAACUUCUUUUAUAUGGGAAUAAAAUGUUCCACGUGUGGGAUUUUGUAUGUACCAUAUGAAUAAGGACCGGCUAACUCCGUGCCAGGAGCCGCGGUAAUACGGAGGGUCCGAGCGUUAUCCGGAUUUAAUGGGGUUAAAGGGGGCGUAGGUGGAUUGUUAAGUCAGUUGUGAAAGUUUGCGGCUCAACCGUAGAAUUGCAGUUGAAACUGGCAGUCUUGAGUGCAGUAGAGGUGGGCGGAAUUCGUGGUGUAGCGGUGAAAUGCUUAGAUAUCACGAAGAACUCCGAUUGCGAAGGCAGCUCACUGGACUGCAACUGACACUGAGGCUCGAAAGUGUGGGUAUCAAACAGGAUUAGAUACCCCGGUAGUC
rnacentral:rRNA from 1 species